ensembl:snRNA U6 U6 spliceosomal RNA
GUGCUAACCUUCAGCAGCACAUAUACUAAGAAACGAUGCAGAGAAGGUUGGCAUGGCCCCUAUACAAGGAUGACAUGCAAAUUUGUGCAAUGUUCCAUAUUAAA